rnacentral:rRNA from 1 species
UACGGAAGGCAGCAGUGGGGAAUAUUGCACAAUGGGCGAAAGCCUGAUGCAGCUAUGCCGCGUGUAUGAAGAAGGCCUUAGGGUUGUAAAGUACUUUCAUCGGGGAGGAAAAACAAAACUAAUAAUUUUAUUUCUUGACGUUACCCGAAAAAGAAGCACCGGCUAACUCCGUGCCAGCAGCCGCGGUAAUACGGAGGGUGCUAGCGUUAAUCAGAAUUACUGGGCGUAAAGAGCACGUAGGUGGUUUUUUUAAAGUCAGAUGUGAAUCCCUGGGCUUAACCUGGAACUGCAUUUUGAAACUGAAAUACUAGAGUAUCGUAGAGGGAGGUAGAAUUCUAGGUGUAGCGGUGAAAUGCGUAGAUAUCUGGAGGAAUACCUGUGGCGAAAGCGGCCUCCUAAACGAAUACUGACGCUGAGGUGCGAAAGCGUGGGGAGCAAACAGGGAUUAGAUACC